AGAGUUUGAUUCUGGCUCAGGAUGAACGCUAGCGGCAGGCCUAAUACAUGCAAGUCGAGGGGCAGCAGGGGUAGCAAUACUCGCUGGCGACCGGCGCACGGGUGCGUAACACGUAUGCAACUUUCCUUCAACUGGAAGAUAGCCCGAAGAAAUUCGGGUUAAUAUUCCAUAGUUAUAUGAAAUGGCAUCAUUUUAUAUUUAAAGCUCAGGCGGUUGAAGAUGGGCAUGCGUUCGAUUAGCUAGUUGGUGAGGUAAUGGCUCACCAAGGCUACGAUCGAUAGGGGAUCUGAGAGGAUUAACCCCCACACUGGUACUGAGACACGGACCAGACUCCUACGGGAGGCAGCAGUAAGGAAUAUUGGACAAUGGAGGCAACUCUGAUCCAGCCAUGCCGCGUGAAGGAUGAAGGUCCUAUGGAUUGUAAACUUCUUUUGAACGGGAGAAAACCUUCGGUCGUGUACCGAAGCUGAUAGUACCGUUAGAAUAAGGGUCGGCUAACUUCGUGCCAGCAGCCGCGGUAAUACGAAGGACCCGAGCGUUAUCCGGAUUUAUUGGGUUUAAAGGGUGCGUAGGCGGAAUGGUAAGUCAGUGGUGAAAUCUUGUGGCUUAACUGCAGAACUGCCAUUGAUACUGCCAAUCUUGAGUACAUUUGAUGUGGGCGGAAUGUGCCAUGUAGUGGUGAAAUACUUAGAUAUGGCACAGAACACCGAUCGCGAAGGCAGCUCACAAAACUGUUACUGACGCUGAGGCACGAAAGCGUGGGGAUCAAACAGGAUUAGAUACCCUGGUAGUCCACGCCUUAAACUAUGAUUACUCGAUGUGUGCGAUACACAGUACGCGUCUAAGCGAAAGCGUUAAGUAAUCCACCUGGGGAGUACGGUCGCGAGAUUGAAACUCAAAGAAAUUGACGGGGGCCCGCACAAGCGGAGGAGCAUGCGGUUUAAUUCGAUGAUACGCGAGGAACCUUACCUGGGCUUGAAAGUUAGUGAAUGCUGUGGAAACAUGGCAGGCCGCAAGGACACGAAACUAGGUGCUGCAUGGCUGUCGUCAGCUCGUGCCGUGAGGUGUUGGGUUAAGUCCCGCAACGAGCGCAACCCCUAUCUUUAGUUGCCAGCGAGUAAUGUCGGGGACUCUAAAGAAACUGCCCGUCAAACGGUGAGGAAGGUGGGGAUGACGUCAAGUCAGCACGGCCCUUACGUCCAGGGCUACACACGUGCUACAAUGGCGAGUACAAAGGGCAGCUACAUGGUGACAUGAUGCUAAUCUCUAAAACUCGUCUCAGUUCGGAUUGAAGUCUGCAAUUCGACUUCAUGAAGCUGGAUUCGCUAGUAAUCGAAUAUCAGCAAUGAUUCGGUGAAUACGUUCCCGGGCCUUGUACACACCGCCCGUCAAACAAUGGAAGCUGAGGGUACUUAAAGUCGAUAACCGCAAGGAGUCGCCUAGGGUAAAAUCGGUAACUGGU
rnacentral:rRNA from 1 species